rnacentral:rRNA from 1 species
CAGCAGCCGCGGUAAUACGUAGGGUGCGAGCGUUAAUCGGAAUUACUGGGCGUAAAGCGUGCGCAGGCGGUUCGUUAAGACAGAUGUGAAAUCCCCGGGCUUAACCUGGGAACUGCAUCUGUGACUGGCGAGCUAGAGUAUGGCAGAGGGGGGUAGAAUUCCACGUGUAGCAGUGAAAUGCGUAGAGAUGUGGAGGAAUACCGAUGGCGAAGGCAGCCCCCUGGGCCAAUACUGACGCUCAUGCACGAAAGCGUGGGGAGCAAACAGGAUUAGAUACCCCGGUAGUCCCUGUCUCUUAUAC